GGCUGAUGGAAGGAAAAGCACAGCACACUUGGCGACCAACGGAUUGGCGCCAAAUUCGAAUUUUUGCAAACCGGCCAACUUCAUUGUUGGCAAUACGCGCUAUCAGUGUGACGUAGACAUUUGAGAGAAAUGAUAGCUAUGAAAAAUGCAAUGUCGUUUCUUAAAGAUUUUAGCAACUGAGCUAAUAUUUCUGUAAGUUGAACACAUAAAUCCUUUUCUAACCUAACUUUUUUCAAACUUCAAAAUUCAGUUUUUCUUAAUUUGGACAUCAUAUUGAUGUAAAUUAUUAUGUGGCCUUUUAAAACUGAGGGAAAAAUGGUUUGCCACACUAAUGACAUUGGAUUUCUUCUGAAUGACGAAUUCAUGGGGUGCAACCGGCGCAACCCCAAUAAACGGGUUGUUUUCUGUCCCCCUCCCCCAUCACGAGGGAUGAAUAGCAGGUAUACGAGGGUAGAGGGUUCAGGCACAUACAUGGUUGAAAGUAGUACGGGUUGUGAGUUCUGUGCUUCUUUCGUGAGUGUCUUUUGUUAUCGUGUUUUUUCCGAUCGUUCUCCAUAUCUUCGUGUUCUUGAAUUUUUAAAAUUCUGUUUUUCCAAGACAUUAUCUCAUUUUUGUGGUACAUCAUUAGGUAUGAUUUGUGAAUAAUAUUUUGUUGCGAUACUUUGAUAGUUCAUGUGUAGUAGGUUUUUACAUCACAACUAUGGGAAUGUGUUGGGCUCCAGAUUGCAAACACUAUAGUACUCGCGAUAAAUGCCAUUUUUUUAGUUUUCCUAAGUCGGGAAAAGAACGAGCACUAUGGAAAAAAUUGUUGAGAAGAGAUGUAGAACCCGGACCAGGAGCCUACGUUUGCAGCUGCCAUUUUCGGGAUGGAAGAAAGGAAAAUGGUCCUGAAUUAUUUUUGCACAAUAUCGCAAAAAGAGCCUAUUUUCAAGUGGAAUCUCCAGAAAAAAAAAAGAUGAAAAAACAAGGACUCCCUUCUUGUUCUAGUUCCGCUGAAUCAUUAAGUGUUGAUAUACCGGAAGAAACAGUACCAUCGACAAUGAAUUUAGAGGAAGUGCCAUCGACGUCUACAGCCGUAGUUGCAGCACCAGCAGAUAUAAUUCAAGAUGCUCCGUUAGAAUCUAUGGGUGUGCAAGCACCCUUGGUGUCACAUGCGGCUCUUGAAGCAGAAAUGUAUUUUCUCAAAAAGGAAAAUGCUGAACUUAAAGCAAAAAUACAAUAUCUGACAGUACGAUUUUGCUAUGAAAAUGUUCAAGGAAAUGACAAACUCAUUGUUUUAUAUACCGGUCUUCCCAAUAGCCAGAUUUUCGAAGCAUUGUUUCACUUAAUCGAAAAGUUGGACAUAAAAUAUUACCACAAAUGGACAGUCCAAAAGUUAACUAGAAUUGACCAACUCUUUUUAACCCUAGUAAAAUUACGACUCAAUUUCCCUCAACUUGAUUUGGCGCAACGCUUUGGGGUUGCCCAAAGCACAGUUUCUAAUAUUAUUUUAACAUUUGUCCAUGUAAUAUAUGAAAUUUUAUAUAAACAGUUUAUGACGACAAUGCCUUCGCGCGAAAAAAAUAAAUCUUGCUUGCCAACAUGUUUUAGCAAUUUUACUAAUUGUAGAGCAGUUCUAGAUUGUACCGAAAUUUUCACUGUGGUAUCACGUAAGUCUAUGUCAACACAGAAAUUAACAUAUAGUACUUACAAACAUCAUAAUACUUUCAAAGGGCUAAUUGGAGUUGCACCCAAUGGUGUCAUCACAUUUGUAAGUGAUUUAUACGUGGGAUCAACUUCUGAUCAAAAAGUUGUUUUAAAUUGUGGAAUAAUCGACAUGUUAAAAACUGGAGAUAUGAUUUUAGCCGAUAAGGGAUUUUUGAUCCAAAAUAUUCUGCCACCAGGGGUCACUUUGAAUAUUCCACCUUUUUUAUCAAAUGUCCAAUUUACACCAGAGCAAGUUAAGUGUACCGAAAAUAUUGCACGUGCAAGAAUACACGUCGAAAGGGCAAUACGCCGAUUAAAAUGUUAUCAUAUUUUAAAUUUUUUGCCAGAGUCUUUGUGCCACUAUGGAGAUAUUGUUUUUAAAGCGACUGCCGCUUUAACAAACCUCCAAUUUCCAUUAAUUAAAGAGGUAGCAGAAUUGUUUCAGGAUUGUGAUGAUUAAAAUAAUGUAAAAUAAAAACCAUCUAUUUAUAUACAGUUUAUUAUUGUGAAAUAAAGGAAAUAUAUUGGUCAAGAUAAAA